UGCGGUUUAAUGGUCAAGCCUGAGUCAUUAGAUUGAUCAAAUCAAAAUUAAUUAAUCAGUUGGUAUCUAAGAUAAGUUUGAUAGUUUGGAUUGAUGGUUUUUAAUUGGCAGUCGCUUAUCUGGCCAUUUCAAUAGUGUUUAAGGCAAGCUUGGCAGACCCUCCUAUCGAUCUCACUUACUUGGCCAACUUGUGGAAUUA
rnacentral:lncRNA from 1 species